rnacentral:lncRNA from 1 species
CAUUUACUCACUCAUUCAUAAAUUAAUUUAACCAACCAUCCAUUCAUCCAUUUAUCGUGUCUCCAUUCAUCCUUUCAUUCCUUUCUUUCAACCUUUUCUUCCCUCUUUUUUCCUUCCCUCCUUUCCUUUCCCUUCUUUCCUCCCUUCCUCUUUCCCUUCCUUCAUACAUCCUGUUCCAUAAUGCAGAGGUUGCAGUCUUGCAGAACCACAUAUUAAGGAAAGCCAGUGUUGCAGUAAUCACUGUGUCGGUUGCCCUCUGCAAAUAUACGCACAACCAUUACUUCUGAUAGAGUGUUUUGCAGGGUCUAGUCAGGCUUGCAUUGUUGGUAUAACAUUCUCUGAUUCAGCUGUCACGUUCUAAUGUCAUGGAAACAUACGUUAUGGCAGAACAGAAUGUAUUUACUGAUUGGAUGCUACAUGCAAAGCACUGUAUUAACUAAGCAACUGGCAGUGAGAAAUAAGGAUCAAAGAAUAAAGGAACAAGAAUAACUGCCCUUGAGGGGUUUACAAUCCGAUCUCGGGAGUACGAAAACCUAAAUGAUUAUGAAGACUCUUCUUGAUGGAAUUUUUUUUGGAAAAUGAGGAUUCAACUGACAACUCUCAGUUUGCUGUCAAUAAUGGUUUCUCUUUGACUCUCUUCCUGCAAGCCUUUGACCCACAGAUUUCACAAAUGUUCCACUGUGGAGUCAUGAAGGAGAAAUGAAAAAAUCUGAACCCAAAUGUGAGGUUGCUUUCAUCUGUUGUUUGUUUCUUUCCCAAAGUUAACUUGGUUGGAGACAAAAGAAAGAAUUUGCAAGAAAAAGCAUUCCCUUCACUCUCCUUGUCCUCUUUUUCCUCCUCCUCAAGACAUCCUGCUCAGAUUGGUUACGAAACAUCUUGGCUCUGUGUGGCGACAAGAGGUCUCAGGUAAUUAACACGGAGUUAACUUUGGUUCCUGGUAGCGGGCCCAUCCUUGAGAGCCCGGUCUAGGCCCAAUACCAUCAGCUGUGGCCAAGUGGGGCAGCUUGGAUGCUGUAUCCACCGUCAGCAGGCCGGAGGUGUUGCUGGUGGCAUUGUUAGCAUUCCUCAUAGAUCUUGGCUUUGGCUUAGGUGCCCAGAGAUGGCAAACGUCUUUGAAUUGUUGACUUCCUCUCUGGAGUCCCUGUGGUACUGGAUUAGGGGUUAGGCGGUGACAUCAAGGCCUCAGACCUAGGGGAGGCGACCCUCAUUCAUUCAUUAAUUCAUUCAAUAGUAUUUAUUGAGCGCUUACUAUGUGCAGAGCACUGUACUAAGCUCUUGGAAUGAACAAGUCGGCAACAGAUAGAGUCCCUGCCGUUUGACGGGCUUACAGUCUAAUCGGGGGAGACAGACAGACAGACAAGAACAAUGGCAAUAAAUAGAGUCAAGGGGAAGAACAUCUCAUAAAAACAAUGGCAACUAAAUAGAAUCAAGGCGAUGCACAUUUCAUUAACAAAAUAAAUAGGGUAAUGUAAAUAUAUACAGUUGAGCGGAUCAAAGGGGGAGGAGGAAUGACAUGACCCUUGACUCCCAGUUGCUGGCUGGGGUGUUAUGAGCCGGGAAUCCUGGGAGAGAGGCACUACAGCAAAGAAAACUAGGAACCAUCCUCCUGAGAGGCAAACAGGCUCAGCUAGGAUGCUUGUAACUGGGGGCAGAAGGAUUUCCAGAAGGGCAUCUGUUGCUUCAUGGUGACUCCACCAGCAACUCCAGGCCAAAGACCCAUCGGUUGUAGCAAAGGGCCCCCCCACAGAUACUGGAGCCCACUGGGAUCCUGGGGUUCUCCUAAAUGCUAAUUGGUACCAUCUGGCUAGGCAGUGAUGCACUUGUAGACAAAGAAACAAAAACCUGAAUCAAGAAGACUUAUCCCUUGGGUGAUUGCCAGUUAGAGAAUGGCAAUGACAUAGAAUCAAGCAACAGCUCAAAGACUGUAGGGCUGGGCAAUUUUCUAUUUGGUAAUGAAAUGUGUACCCAUCACAGAUAGCAUAUAUAUUAUCAAUAAUAAUAAUAAUAAUAAUUGUGGUACUUGUUAAGCCUUACUAUGUGCCAAGCACUGUUGUAAGUGCUGGGGUAGAUAUAAGUUAAUCAGGUUGGACAUGGUUCCUGUCCCACACGGAGCUCACGCUCUUAAUCCCCAUUUUCCAGAUGAGGUAACUGAGGCCCAGAGAAGUUAAAUGACUUGUCGAAGGUCACACAGCAGAUAUGUAACAGAGUGGGUUUAGAUCCCAGGUUCUUCUGACUCCCGGG